UUUUUCCUGCUCCCAUCACUUCCUGCCCCCAACCUUUUUCUUUUCUUCUCUCUCCUCUUUCCCCCUCUCUCGGCCGAAACCCACCCCUUCUUCUCCCCUUCUUCUUCUUCGCCGCCCCUCGCCGCUUCACCCCUUCUUCUCCUCUUCUUCUUCUUCUUCUUCGCCGCCCCUCGCCGCUUCACCCACCACCACAUCGCCGCCCCACGCCCUACUCACCACCAUCUCUUGGCCACUGAACCACCACCACCCACUGCUCGUCCGACGAGCCGUCUUCGACCGUUGAGCCCGACAAGCUAUCGUGCCGUCCGCGCCGCCCCUCGCCGCCGUGAGCCACCGCCGCCGUCCCCAAGCCACCGUCACCACCUCUUGCCGCCGCUCGCUCGGCCGUUUGAGCCGUCGUUGCUCCGAACCGCCACCGCCAGAACCGAGCUCUUCCCCCCUUGGCCGUGGGUUGAGCCGCGACUACCGCCGUCUUCGCCGCGCCGUCCGUGCCGCCGUUGGUGCCGUGAGACUCUUGUCUUCGUCGCCGGACCUCCCUCGACACCGCCGCUGGAUGCGUCACCCCUCGCUUGCCUCACCGCUCAGCCGCUUGCCGUCGACGCCGCUCGUCCCCCAGGUGGAACUGGAGGCUACUCGCUCGCCAGCCCCCCGACGCAGCUCGCUACUCGCCCAGCCAACCUUAACUCCACACCCCUUCGCCUCCGCCCCCAACGAAGCUGCUCUGUUACGAGCUGCGAUCGGCGGCGAAGCUGAAGGAGGAGAAGCAGGAGGCGGCAGCGGCGAGCUCUUCUUCGUCUCGGAGGUUGGUUUCGCCUCGACCUCCUCUCCUUUGCCUGUUCGCGGCUUUGACGGUUUUUCUGUUCCUCAGCCGGUAGUUUAGGGUUUCCGUGUGUACGUGUGAGUGAGUGAUUUUCGAGAAUCGGACCGAGUCGAGCACGCGUUCGUCACGUGCGAAGAUCAAGCUAUCGUUUGCUUUUGCUUAUUUCGAUUAGGAUGUACAAUUCGUGUCGGUUUGUGCAAGGGCAUAGAGAAUUUGAUCUUUGUGUUACCUCGUUUGUGAAUGGAGUGCUGGAUGUGUAUGUCAUGGAGUGUUCUGGAAUUGCUCCUGUGCAUGUCGCACCCCCACUAUGAAUUUAGUUGUUUAUGGCGUGUUCUGGAAUUGCUCCUGUGCAUGUUGCACCCCCACUAUGAAUUUAGUUUAGUUGUUUAUGGCGAAUUGCUCCUCUUUAUUGGCAGGUAUUGAAAAUGGAGGGCUAACUAUUGAAUUAUUUCCACUUCUGGAUAUUCGCGCCCAAUACGA
rnacentral:lncRNA from 1 species